rnacentral:rRNA from 1 species
GACGAACGCUGGCGGCGUGCUUAACACAUGCAAGUCGAACGGAGAUUCAGCAAUGGAUCUUAGUGGCGAACGGGUGAGUAACGCGUAGGCAAUCUGCCUUCUAGAUGGGGACAACAUCCCGAAAGGGGUGCUAAUACCGAAUGCUGUACCGUUUCCGCAUGGAGACGAUACUAAAGGUGGCCUCUGAAUAUGCUACCGCUAGAAGAUGAGCCUGCGUCUGAUUAGCCAGUUGGAGGGGUAACGGCCCACCAAGGCUUCGAUCAGUAGCCGGUCUGAGAGGAUGAACGGCCACACUGGGACUGAGACACGGCCCAGACUCCUACGGGAGGCAGCAGUGGGGAAUCUUCCGCAAUGGACGAAAGUCUGACGGAGCAACGCCGCGUGAGUGAAGAAGGUUUUCGGAUCGUAAAGCUCUUUCGUUAGGGACGAACGUGCUCUUUGUGAAUAAUGAGGAGUAAUGACGGUACCUAAAUAAGAAGCCACGGCUAACUACGUGCCAGCCGCCGCGGUAA